rnacentral:lncRNA from 1 species
GUGCACGGUCGCAUGUUACUCGAAGAAGAUCUGUCAUUUGCACCAUUUUGUCAGUGAUAUUGUGAGCGAUGUUCCUCCACCUCUCCUCGCCUCGCUCCUUCACGAAGAGCUGAGGUCUCAGAGGGAACACCACAAGGGGCGCUCUGGGAUACCUGCCCUUACACGAGUCCUGGGACUGCAGCGAUGGCUGUCUGAUCUAUCCCAGCGGAGCCGCGAUGGACAAAAUCAACUUCCACAGGGUGGUGCAACGGUUCAGUGAUGACAAGCCUCCUAGUUUUGUCAUGGACUCUUUAUUCCAUUAUCUGAAUGGAAUUGCCAGGCAGAUCAGUUCGGUCAAUAUAGAGGAUGUAGGUAAUGUGGCUGUGCGGUCGGAUUGUUUCUGUGCCGUUUGGCUGCUAGGAGACUAAACGAAGCCACAGUUAAUGGACGUCAUCCAGACAAAAGAUCGCUUCUCCUGCAUCACCGUCAGUCCACACUUCCCCAAUGAGCUCGCGGUGGUCAAUGAGCAGGGAGCAGCUUAUCUUUGGACUGCGAAAAAAGGAUUGCAAAAGUUCCGUGUGGAGGAUUCCAACCUGUACUUCAAUGUUAAGUCUCCAUGGCGAUGGUGUGAGUUCUCCUGUCACCCGAGAGUGAUGGUGUAUGCUGACAGAACAGGGGCGGAGCUUACAGACAUACGGAGUGCUGAUAGUAAUCACACAUUGUUCUGGAUCGGAAGGACAGCAGCCUGUAUGUCAGAAGAGCGAGUGAUACUCGCCAAAAAUACCUGAGUAAAAGCCACGCCCAUCACCACCUCAUUAAUACCCAGGUCCGGGACAAGAAAAUCGCGGCUCUUCGCCGAAAGCGCCGGAAAGAAAAGCAAGUCAAAGCUCGCAGUCGCACCUCACUUUCUGGAAACUUCACCUCAUCUGUGAGUUACCAAGAGAGUGCCUCGGGUUGGUCAUCGGUGGGGAGUCAGUGUCUGGGUUCAGAUGACGAGACUUUGGAGAACUCGCAAGCUACGGACAUGGAGGAAUGGAGGGCCAAACCUGAGAUGCACAGAAAGAGCCCCAUCAUACUGAGACGGUUUUUAAAUGAGCAGUCGACUGAGGUAGAACCUUUCAAAUCUCCUUCGAGGCCUGAUCAAGACCUUUUGACUUCAUCAAAAUCUCAGUCUUCCAUUCAGGUAAUGAUUUGCUGAUAUGAAAUUUCAGAGCUGAUACCGAUAAAUGAUUAUUUAUAGCGAUUUGUGGUCAAUACUGAUAACUGAUCAUUUAAUUUUUUGACUUUAAAAAGGAGUUGCUUUCUGAUAAAUUAAAAUGACUCACUUGAACCAAGGCGACUGUCAUAGGUGUAAUGCUGGUUUAAUGAGAAAUUAAUGACUUGAAACUAGCAUAAAUUGUAUUGUAUCCAUUUGUACGUUAUUGUUCAAAAGUUUAGGGUCAGUAAGAUUUUUAUUUUUAAAGAAAUUAAUACUUUUAUUCAACAAGGACACAUUUUAUUAAAUGUGUCCAAAGUAAAGACAUUUAUUAUGUUAC